rnacentral:lncRNA from 1 species
CUUUUAAUCCGACAGAGCUUGUCUGACUCGAAGAUGACUGACAGGAUGCUUCAGAAAGGAACUUUAACAAUCCAAAGUCCCCAACAUGAGCAGUCAUAUCUCCAUCGAGAAGAACAUUACUUGGCUUAAGAUCACAAUGAACAACAGGCAUUUUGCAUUGGUUGUGCAAAUAGUCGAGCGCAUUAGCCACAUCAAUUGCAAUGUUUAACCUCUGAAUGAGAUUAAGAUUUCUUGGCCGAUGCACUUCCUGAUCCAAUGUUUGGUUUGGAUGCAACCAUUCUUCUAGACUUCCAUUGAUCAUGAACUCAUAAACAAGAGCUUUGAAAUCAUUACCUUGAACGUCAACGCCAGCACAUGCAAAUAAUACUUUGACAAGAUUCCGGUGCCUGAUGUUUAGCAAGGCUGCACAUUCUCUCAUGAAGCUUUUGGAAGCUCCUUCGCGUAGCAAGUUGAAUACUUUCACAGCAACAAUCACUCCAUCAAAUGCAAGUACUCCUUUAUACACAGACCCAAAACUACCAGCACCAACUAAAUUGCCCGAAGAGAAUCCAUUAGUUGCUUGAAGGAGGUCUUUGUAAGCUACUGUUCGGAAUGGCAUUUCGCAUGACAACUCGUUUUUUGUUUUUCUGGAUGAUUUUUUCAAGCAGCACAAAAAUAAAAAAGAUGUGAUGAAGAUUAAUCCAAUAAAGCCACAAGGAAUAUGACUAUCAAUGCCAGCUUGGUAGAAUACUUUGGCUUUGUUGACUUGGAUCUGCAAGUGGGCAGAUUCAACUGAAGUAUUCCUCCACAAAGAUUCUUGUUCCCUGCAAUCGAAACCGCACUUGUAUUCUCAAAAACACCUUGCAUGGGCACCUCACCUUCAAGGUCAUUAAAUGACAGAUCCAAACUCUGCAACAACUUGAAAUCUCCCAAAAACUUGGGAAUUUGGCCAGUCAAGUUGUUGUGAGAGAGAUUAAGAUCUUGAAGUGCUCUCAAAGAUCUCAAAGACUCGGAAAUGGGGCCUUGGAAGAAGUUCCCAUCCAAAGACAAAUGUUCCAAACUCUCGCAACUGCCAAGACUUGAGGGAAUUUCCCCUGAUAGCCUGUUUUUGGAGAUGUCCAUGUAUCCAAGAUGCUUUAACUUGCCAACUUCAAAGGGAAGGGAACCAGACAGCUGAUUUUCAGACAGGCCCAAACGCAUUGACAAGGAUGAAAUGCUAAGGACCUCUUUUGGUAUGGGACCACUGAGAUUGUUUUGGGAGAGACCCAAGAGCAACAAGUUGCUGCAGUUUCCCAGGCUUGGAGGGAUGCUUCCCUGUAAACUAUUUUGAUGAAAAUUAAUUUGCAUCAACGAGGUGAUGUUCCCUAAAGAAGAAGGGAUGCUCCCUGAUAAUUUGUUUUCACUAAGAACGAAUUCAACUAAAUUUUGUAAUUUACCAAUAGAAUUUGGUAUGCUGCCAGUCAAGUGAUUUCUCUCCAAACCUAAAGUAUCCAAGCUUAAGAGAUUUCCAAUGCCAUCGGGAAUGCUUCCUUGGAUUUGAUUGCUUCCGAAUGUCAUCUUCUUGAGCUUUGUUGAGAAGUUGCUAAUUAUGUCAGGCAGCACCCCUCCAAAAUUGUUCCUAUCUAUAGCCAAAACUUCCAACUUGCUGCUGUUUGAGAGGGUGUAGAGAAACGACAAAUCAUCAUCCUCGUCAUUUCCAAGCCCACUUUCUUGAAUUGAAAAAACCCUCAGGUUAGGCAUGCUAGCUAAAGUGGGAACUUUUCCGGUGAAUUCAUUGUAGGAAAGAUAAAUCUCAGUAAAUUUUGAGGUAUUUAAGAGCGUUGCUGGAAUUAGUCCGCUUAAUUGAUUGUCGUGAAUGCCAAGAAAUUCCAGAUUUGGAAGAGUUAGGCCAAUGUAUGGAGGAAGUGUACCAUGAAAUUGGUUAUGAGCCAAAGAUAAAUGAAGGAGAGAUGAAAUAUUGUAUAGGGAGAGAGGGAUUGUACCACUCAGAUUAUUCAAGCCGAGUGAAAAGAAAUUCAAUGUUUUCAGUUUCCCAAUACUACUGGGAAUACCCCCUUGUAAUUUAUUAAGUGAUCCAUCAAUUUCAAUGAUAGAUGAAAGAUUUCCGAAAGAGGGUGGUAUCUUGCCACCCAGAUUGUUCUUUCUAAAAUUAAAUACCUGCAGCUUUGAUAACGAUCCAAGUCCGGCAGGAAGGUUGCCGGUAAGAUUGUUUCCCUCUAAAUUAAGGUUCAGGAGGUUCGAGCAAUGAGAAAUGUUAGCCGGGAUUUCACCACUGAACGAGUUGUUCCCAAGGAGCAGUGUCUGUAACCGAACCAAACGACUUAAUUCUUGGGGGAUAGUAUUGGUGAAACCGUUGUUUUCCAAGCUUAGUAGCCUGAGAAAACUCAAGUUCCCAAUGGAGGGAGAUAGGCUGCCCACCAGUUGGCUGGAGUGGAGGUCAAGCUCUAUGACUCUUUGAUCCUGUCUUCCACAUGUUACUCCUGACCACUGGCAAAAGUGUAAGGAUUCAUUCCACGAGCUUAGUUUUGUAGGGGGGUCUGAAAUUUGAGCCUUGAAAGCUAGUAGGGUGAGUUUGUCAAUCUCGCCUCCUCCUCUAGCUAAUGAGAAGGAGAAAGAGUGUUGAAUUAUUUGAAAGGAAAGAAACCACAAUAUGAGUGAACUCAUGCUUGCAAGCUUCAGUUUCAAUAGGGUCUUACAGAUUUAAGUUGAGAUCAAAUGGCUUGCUGUGAUGCUCUAUGGAUCAAACAUUAAAUAGGAAAGUAAGUGUUGGGUUAUUUCCAGAACUCAAACACACACAAAUUACGUUGUUCGGCAACUUGCCUACUCCACGGAGCUACUGGUUUGUAUUAAUCAAGCUUACAAACAAUACAAACAAGAAAACAAGGAGGAGGAGAAAAUUCUUCUCUACUCAACUCAACUCUCCCUAGCUCUCUCUCUGUGUUUCACUCUGCAACUUCGUCAGUUCUCACGCUGCAAUACACAACUCUUCACAGGGGGCACAUAAAUAUACAAAUAAUGGGAGUGGGGGUGUCCUCCACCAUGUGCUAAGUGGGAGAUUAGGAUUCCCACUUGCACAUGGUGGGGCUUGCUUAUCUCCAAUAAUUAACAGUAAGGAAUAUUCCUUACAUCCUUAAGAUGCUUUCAGACUCCCCUUGAAGACGUUUUCGAACGUCAGACAUGAUAUCGAAUAGGGUACAAUUUUCAAAGUCGAUAAGAAGGUUCCUUCUUGUUUUCUUCUUCCCUCUGAAAAGACUAUUCUUUUUUCACUGUGGAAAUUAAAGUCCAGCAGUACAUGACAAUGUUUCACUCUUAAUUUUAUCGAAUUGACAAAACCUGGUUUUUUUUAAUUGAUCCGCGACUGUAGCAGCCCGGCAAAAUCUAAUUAAGAUCUGAUUUUUUUUUUUUGAUACAUGUGUUUCUCCUCCUAGUUAGAGAGCCUUUUUUUAAAAAAAAUUAAUUGAUUAUUAACCUUUUUAAAAUUUAUUAUAUAAACAUUAGUAUUUUAUGUUCACAAGAUAAAAAAUUAUUUUUCCCUCUUAAAGACUAUUCUUUUUUCAUUGUGGAAAUUAAAGUCAAACACAUGACAAUGUUUCACUCUUAAUUUUAUCAAAUUGGCAAAACCCGAUUGAUCCACUAGUUGACUCGUGACCAGAACAACCCGAUAAAUUUGGUUGAGAUCUGAUUUUUUUUUUUUUACAAAUAUAUUUUUUUUCCUAGUUAGAGAUCCUUUUUUUAUAUAUAUAUUUUUAGUUGGUUAUUAACUAUUUUUAAAGUUCAUUGUAUAAAUACUAGAAAAAUAUUUUAUUUUUAUAAUGUAAGAUUUGAAACUCUUUAGUAUACAUACUCUGUGUUUACAAGAGAAAUAAAAAAUAUUUUUAAUUUAAAUGCUUCAAUUUUUAACUUAAAAGGUUCAAAUUAGAUUUCAAGUGCAUAUAUAUAUAUAUAUUGAUGUCACGUUGUCAAGAAAUAGUUUUUCAAUAGCAACCCAAGUAUCACGGGCAUAGAGAGCAAUUCCAGGGAAGAUGGGAUGCUUAAGAUGACACAGUAGCAUUUAUCCAAGAAACAACAACAUGAUUAACUUGCUGACAAAUAGCAAAAUAUAGAUUGACAGUAGGUUGUCGAGAAGUUCUAGUGAUGAAUUGAGAAGGAGUAAGAGUGCCAUGAUCAACACGAUCAUAAACCCUAUGGUAGUGAAUAGUACUUUGUAGGAUAUUGAAAAUCAUUUAUUCCUUAAUUACCCUUGUUUUUCAUUUCAGGUGAACGUCCAACCACUCAGUUAACUAAAAACCAUCCCCAAUCACCCUAGCUAAGAGCUUUUAAUGCAGCUAUAAAAAGUCUAUUUUUUUCACGAAUUUAUCACCCAUAAUAGUUCAUUUUCCAAGUCAAGACUCGACUCGCAUGUUCAUGAAAUAUACGCAUCAUCAUUCAUUUUCUAAGUCAAGAUCAACUCAAAAAUUAAUUACAUGAGAAAGGAUUUAUAAAUUCCACAACGACAAAUCAACCAUAUCUCCCAAUAAUUUCUUUUUUGUUAUUUCCAAAGUAUUUUCCAUCCUAGUUUCUAAUUACCACUUUCCUCUUUUUCAUUGUGCUUUGUAAUUUGCAAUCCAAUCAAUCUUUUAAGCAUAUUGUUUUGUUUUUUAUAUGUAUUAGAUGUAUUAAAUUUAGAUUACUUUUAGAAAACUUGAAGUUUUAUGAUGAAAGUUUCAUUCUCAAAAUGUAACAUCAACCACUUGCAUAUGCAUGCUAUAUUCAGAUUUCAAGUCUACGUCGCUGAAAAAUGUGGCUCCUUCGAAUUAUGACAAUUAAUUGGGAGGGACUAAGUAGCUGGUUCAUGAGCAAACCUGUGGUGGAAAAGUAAGCUAGACCCCGCAAUGAUGUGAAUCCAUGAAAAUUAAUGAAGGGACAGCCUCUUGUAGACGUUUCAACAAGUUACUUCAUAAACUCAAUAAAUAGGGUCCAAUUUUCAUAAACUGUUCAAGAAAAUUAAUGUUCAUGAGUUUCCAUUUUCAUAACCCCUUGAAGACGUUUCCGAACGUUAAACAUGACAUCAAAUAUUAGGGUCCAAUUCUCAAAGUCGAUGAAAUUCUAAACAAAAUACUGCAGGUAAACAAGAUGCUGCAGGUCCAAUUCCAUAUUUUCAUAAAGUGGAGAGGUUAGAUAAAGGGUGUUAGAUGCUCGAUGAAAUUCCUUAUUACAGGUUCAUCAAGUAUUUGGCAGGACUAGUCAUUUUGGCAUGUGUAUUUCUCAAAUUUUUAUAAAAUAAUUUAUCAUCCCAAAAGAUCUGCAAAUGAGAUAGAUUUAUAUGCACAACAUCGAAAUGUCUUGACGUUGUAAGAACACCCAUCUGAAGAUAUUCAAGUCAAUUGAGAAAUGCGCAGUGAAUUAUUCCGGAAACCCCAACUUCUUUUCCGCAAAUGAGAUAGAUGCUCUAUGGAUCAAACAUUAAAUAGGAAAGUAAGGAAUCCUUACAUCCUUAAGAUGCUUUCAGACUCAGUGAGAAACUUUUUCAGAUUCAUCAACCAACAUUUGAUCCCCACAUUGGUUUUAAAGGUGACAUAUGGGUUUGCAAAACUCGUAGAAAUCUAUGUUAACGAGAUCGUAAGGUUGCAUGGUGCAAGGUUGUCAAUUCCGUUUCGGCAGGUGUUUCGUUUUUUCAAUUGGAACGAAAUGUUUUUAUUUCGGAGCGUUUCAGCGUGCCGUUUCGGAGUUGUACUGUUCAUAUAUAUAUAUAUUCAACAAAUAUAAUUCAAAUUCAAGAUAAAUUAUGCAUUACAAAGUACAAACACAAUGUCAAGCAGCAUAAUUUUAAAAUUUAAAAUAUUCCUAAAUAGUCAAGAUUAAAUAUAAUUUUGAAGUUGUUCGAUACCACAACAAAUUAAUUAAUCACUACCACUGACAAUGAGAUGACAAUAAUUAGGAACUUUCUUGUGUGUAAUUAAAGAAUAUAAUUCUGCCUGCUAUGUGUAGAAUUCAAAGCUUUGGCGUGGUUAACAAUCAAGAACUUUAUUUAUUUAUUUUCAAAGUUUCAAAUUAAAACGACAAGGAUCAGAGGCUUUGCAAUUUGAAAUUAGUGUGUCAUCAUCCUCCCAUUUGGAGAUUAAUAUUGCUAAUUGUCCAAGAAACGACAAGCACUAGAGUAUUAUUUGUUGACCCAUGAUAAACAAGUACAAAUUACAUGAUCGAUGACGAUACCAUUAUGUAAAAGUAGUAUCUUAUAGUAUUUUUGAAGGAGAAUAAUUUAUUUGCACAAAGGGUCAGUGCUGGAAGGACGUUUUUAUAGUUUAUUGAUUUGAACUUGAACAGAGAAAAGAGAUCGCACCUUAGCUCUGGGUGUACUGUGAAGUUAAUGAAAAGGAACCGGGUUUAAUUUCGAGUCUUUGACUCGAUGGCUUUAACCCGAAACGGAACACCUGGAUUUCAGCCGGAACGUUCCGACCGAAAUUUGACCGGAAUUUCCGGAUCAACCCGAGAUUUUAAACGAGGUGAAACUUGUUCAGUUUUAUUUCGUUUUUUUAACUGGUACGAGAUGUUCCGGGCAUUCCGGCCGAAACGGAACGGUAUUAACAACUUUGGCAUGGUGUGCCCAUCUCAAUUAUAUCUGACAGAGGUCCACAGUUCACUUCUCGAUUUUGGGUGAAGUUUCAGGAAGCUUUGGGGACUAACGUUCAGUUAAGUACUGCUUUUCAUACUCAAACAGAUGGACAAUCUGAGAGGACUAUACAAAUUUUGGAGGAUAUGUUAAGAGCUUGUGUGAUUGACUUUGGUGUCGGAUGGAGCAAAUACUUGUCUUUGGUGGAGUUUGCAUAUAAUAAUAGUUAUCAAGCGAGCAUUGACAUGGCUCCAUAUGAGGCUUUGUAUGGCCGGAAGUGUAGAUCACCUGUCUGUUGGUAUGAGGUUGGAGAGAGGAGAUUAAUGGGUCCCGAGUUAAUACAGAUUACUUCGGAUAAGAUUAAGGUGAUUCGAGAUAAACUUCAAACAGCUCAGAGCAGGCAAAAGAAUUAUGCGGAUAAGAGGAGGCGUAAUCUAGAAUUUUUAGUGGGUGACAACGUGUUCCUAAAAGUCUCCCCGACUAAAGGAAUAUUCAGAUUUGGGAAGAAAGGAAAGUUGAGCCCUAGGUUUAUAGGGCCCUUUGAGAUCUUGGAAAGAGUAGGGGUAGUGGCAUAUCGGCUUGCCUUGCCACCUAAUCUAUCCUCCAUCCAUCCGGUAUUUCAUGUUUCCAUGCUAAGGAAGUAUAUGACAGAUCCAUCACAUGUGUUAGAGGUUCAUCCCAUUGAAUUGAGAGAUGAUAUGGUUUAUGAGGUGCAACCGGAAGCUAUAAUUGACCGACAAGUGAGGAAGCUUAGGUCGAAGGAUAUAACUUCAGUGAAAGUGAAAUGGAAAGGUCAUUCACGUGAGGAAGCGACCUGGAAGCUCGAGGAUAAGAUGCGUGAGGAGUAUCCUCAUCUUUUCGAUAAUCUCGGUAAGUAUUCAAUCUUUUCUAUUAAGUUUCGAGGACGAAACUUUUAUAAGGUGGGGAGAUUGUAAUAUUUUGAGUUAAGGGGAUUGGAAAAUACAAUAAAGCCCUUGGAGGCUUAAAGAGUGAGUAAAAUUGAAUAAGGGGUAUUAUGGUAAUUGGAUAAAUAGUUGAUAAAUAUAAAUAGAAAAAGAAAGAGGGAUCUGAAAAUUUGAAGAACAAACCGUAAGAGAGAAGGGAGGAAGAAGAAGAAGAAGAGAAAAGAAGGGAAAAAUAAGGGAAAAAGGAAGAGAUUGGGAGGAAAUAAGUUUAAAGGUAAGAUUAUGUAUAAAUAUGUAUUAAUUAAGCUUUAAUUUCAAUUUUGAUAAAUGUUAGGGUUAUGAAGUUUGUGUUUUGAGUUUAAUUGAUGAAUUAAAUUGAAUGAUGGAGGUUGAUUAUUGUGUUUAAUUGAUGAUUUAGUUGAUUAUGAAGAUUGUGAUGAUUUUGAGUUAUAGUUUUGUUUGAAUGGUGAAAUUUGUGUUAGAAAUCAGGGGAUAACAGUAGGUGAUCUGUUGAAAUUCUGGGUUUGAGGUUGAAGAUGACGAAAAUUCAGUUUGGUCCCUCAAUUUGUGAAAAUUGCAGUUUAGUCCCUGAACUUUGGAAAUAUUACAGAUUGGUCCCUGGGGCAUAAAUUGAGAUUCUGAACAGAACUGAGGAUGAUUUAAAGGCAAAAUUAUAGUAUAAUUAAUAUUUUCAGUUUGGUCCUCCAAUUUGACAAAUUACGAUUUGACCCCUAAUAUUUUGAUAAAAUCACAUUUUGGACCUUGGGGCAUAAUUCAAGAUUCUGGACAAAGAUAAGGACGAAUUAUGGAUAAAUUUCAGUAUGGUUAUGUAUUUACAGAAUUUUGGUAAAAUUACAUUUUGGUCCCUAUUUUGGAAAAUUGUCGUUUUAGUCCCUAAACCUAGGAGACUAAGCUUGGUUUCCUUUUAUGCAUUGGAAUCUUUUAUUUGUGUUCUUUUGAGUUGCUUUUGAGUAUAUUUCAUAUAUUUAUUAUAGGUUCUCCUAACGAUCCUUAAUAGGAUUUUCGGGUCUUUCGUUUGACAUUCCUUUAGUUUAGUAUUUUCCAGGUGAGUCGAAUAAUCUUUAAUAUGCAUAUAAUAUAAAUAAAUAUGUAUGUUGAUUAUACAGUGAGUACGACUAGUAAAUUUCUUGAAUAUUUAUAUAUGUUGCUUUAUUUUCCGAGUACUCAUUUAUUCUUAAAUUUGCAUUCGCAAUCUGUCAAAGUAAAUUCUAUUUGAUAUGAUAUACGUUUCUUUGAUGAUUCUGUGAAUAUCUAUUAUGCCUUGAUAUGGGACUUGUCAAUAACUCCAUGCUAACGGAGAGUAGUUAGCCUGUGUGCACAUAGUAUUAUGUAUACCUAGCUGGUGAGAGAGGCAUCAACCUGUGGCGAUUGAUCAUCCCACAGUGAUCACCGACGGGUGUCAUCUGGUCACCUACGGGUGUCAUCUGGUCACCUUCGGGUGUCAUCUAAUCUCUGACAUGUAAUCCACUAUGUUAUGAUAAUAUGUUUAGUAUGUAUAUGUAUAUGUAUAUGUAUAUUAAGAUAAAUCAUCUUACAAAUUAUUAAUAUCUGAAAUAUCUGAAAUGUAUAUUAAAUGUUAUUCCCUCACUGAGUUGGUUGAACUCACCUCUCAUUUUUAAUAUUAUUUCAGGUUCUUAGUUUCUGGGACUUUGUUGAGUGUUUCCGCUUCUUCAGUUCUGGUCGGUAUGCCUUGCUUGUUCGCGAGGCUUUCCUUUCAGUUUUGAUUUGAUGUCUUAGACGCUCCACUGUUACCUUGGUUUAAUUAAAUUUGGAUUUUGACAAUGUAAUGAGUAUUAUGAAUUAUUAUUUUUGUUUUAAUAACUAUCUUUCGGUUUCAUCAGUAUUUGAAUAAUAUAAUAUUUCUGAAUAUUAUGAGCCGCUGCGUAUUUUUGAACAAAUUGUUCUUUUGAUAUGUCCGUUCUGAGGCUUAGCGUAGGUGAGGUGUCCUUUCGACACCGCUCCUACGUUGCCGGUCACGGAUCCGGGAUUCGGGUCGUGACAAAGGUGAUAUCAGAGCAUGGUUUUAUUAAAACCUUGUAAUCUUUUUUUUUUGUUAAAACCCUCGUAAUAUGUGGAGCUUAGGAUCUAUCUUGUAUGGAUGUCAUUACCCUUAUAAUUCUCCAAUCUAGUGUUUGGUGUGUCGUUCUUAAAACUCCUUGUAGUUAUGUUGAUACAUGUCGCACCCCAAAAAAAACAUCACGCGUGGCAUCGGCUGGCGAUUUUUCUUCGUUUGUUGCGUUUGCUUUGAAUUUGAUUUGUGGGAGUCGCCACCUAGUAAUUCAUUGAGGGCUACUAGGAAACCUGAUGUACUGGUCUUGUCAGAGAUCGCGGGUAAGGGACUGGUUGUGGUUAGGGAAGGUAUUAGCAGCUCUAACACACCCUACCUGAGGUAAGCUGCUUUGUGUUCUGAUGUGAUUUGAAAAUUUAAAAUAUUAAUUAAAUUCUAAGGCUUGAAUAAAUCAGUUAUUAAAUCCCCGAAUAUGUGUAGAAACAUGUUCUCACACUUUCAUGGAAAAUACAACUUGAUUUUAUUUGUCCUUGAGAUAUUUAACCAUAUUUAAAUUAACAAUUAAUUCUUUUUGUCCUUCUUUUAUUUUUACAAUUCAAUAACAUAAAUAAAAAUACAAACACACACACAUCUCUUUUUAUUAUAUUUUUCCAUACACCCACAUUUACAUAAUAAUAUAACUUAAACAAACAAAAAAAACAAAAAAAAUAAAUAACAGUAAUUUAACUAACUGUUCAAACAUGUUACAAUUACAAAAAAAAAAGUCCUUAAAAAAUCAAGGAACUGCAGAGGAAGGCCUCGGGAACUGUUGAAGCAGUGCAGCGCGUCUGGUCCACGCGCUGCCACCUGCGAAAAAAAACACGCAAGGGAGAUCCGAAACGGCUUCAUCCCCUCAUCACUUUCCUCGCCGGCGGCGACAACGUUGUCACCUGCAAAACACCAAAACGCAAGAAGCAAGGUUUCCGGUUCUGUCUCCUUAUUUGGAUCUCUUCUCUGCUGUCAUUUUUUUUGUUUUCGGUUCAUUGUUCUCUCCUUCUCCAGGUGAUAAAUCAUUGGCAGUUGAGGGAGGAGGGCUGGAGACUGGGAGCGGACAGAUCGGGGAUCAGUGGGCGUCGCUGUGUCGGGCUGCUACUGGAGGCGCCGAUGCGGUCCGGGCGAGCAGGUUGACUGACGAACGACGAUGGGGAGCUGUUGUGCUGAGGGCAGAUCUUGGUCGGGUGGCUUGGGUUAUGGAGAGUGAGGGGCUAUCUGUGGCCAGCUGGGAUUUGAAGAUGAGAGGAAAAAUCGGGUGAAGGCUGCCUUGGAGAACUGGUUCGGUGCUGGGAGGAGGAAGGUGGACGGCUGGUUUCGGGUUUAUAGGCAAAAAAUGUUGCCAGGUUUUUCAACUUGGUCCCUCAACUUCUUUCUUUUUUGUAAAUUUUGAUUUUUUCUUAUUUUUUGUAUUUUUUGAAAACGAGCAAUAUCAAUGUCGACUCGACGAGGAAAAUCAACGAUUUUAAAAAUGACGAGUGAAAAGUUGAACGCGUUUGAAAAUCUUUUUUAAAAUUUAAAUUCUUUUUUUUUAGACGACGUUGAAAAUUCUAAAAUGAUGAAAAUAUAUUAAAAAACAUAUUUUUUGGAUUUUCUUUGUUUUUCUCUAUUUUUUGAAUUUUUUGAAAAUAUAUCAAAACAUGGGUCAAAAAUUGGGUAGCAACAGAUGCCCCCUCUUUACAAUGCUUACGAAGCAAAACUCUUCAAAAUUUUGCAUAGUAAGCUUUGUAAAGAAAACAAAAGAAAAAUGAUUUCAUUACCUUGGGCGACCUGCCCACACACUCACACUGAUCUAUUUUCACGGGCGACCUGCCCACACAUACUCACUCUGGUCUAUUUUCACGGGCGACCGACCCACACAAACACACUGGUCUAUUUUCACGGGCGACCUGCCCUUUUAAUUGGGUUUACCUGAGCUCCCAUCUGGCGACCUCAUUCAACUGGAACGAAAAUAUUGUGUAACUCGGUUAACCUGAAAUCCCAUCUGGCGAUUCCCUUUAACCAAAGCUACAUGAGAUCCCAUCUGGCGACCUCAUUCAAUUGGAACGAAAUAUGCGUAACUCGGUUAACCUGAAAUCCCAUCUGGCGAUCCCCUUUAACCAAAGCUACAUGAGAUCUCAUCUGGCGACCUCAUUCAACUGUAACGAACAUAUGUGUAACUCGGUUAACCUGAAAUCCCAUCUGCCGAUUCCCUUUAACCAAAGCUACAUGAGAUCCCAUCUGGCGACCUCAUUCAAUUGGAACGAAAUAUGUGUAACUCGGUUAACCUGAAAUCCCAUCUGGCGAUUCCCUUUAACCAAAGCUACAUGAGACCCCAUCUGGCGACCUCAUUUAACCAAACAAAAGAAUGUGUAAAAAAUGGUCUCAUUGUAAUGGGUGACCCACCCAAGAAAAAUGAUGGUCUCAUUGUAUGGGUGACCGACCCAAGAAAAAUAAUGGUCUCAUUGUAUGGGUGACCUACCCAAGAAAAAUCAUGGUCUCAUUGUAUGGGUGACCGACCCAAGAAAAAUGAUGGUCUCAUUGUAUGGGUGACCUACCCAAGAAAAAUGACGGUCUCAUUGUAUGGGUGACCUACCCAAAUGGAAAAAAUGUGAAGUGCGGUCUCAUUGUAAUGGGUGACCUACCCACGUGGAAAGAAUAUGAAAAAGUGGUCUCGUUGUGAUGAGCGACCUACCCAAAUAGAAAGAAUGUGAAGUGCGGUCUCAUUGUAAUGGGUGACCUACCCAAAAAUGGAAAAAAUAUGAAGUGUGGUCUCAUUGUAAUGGGUGACCUACCCAGAUGGAAAAAAUGUGAUAUGACAAUUGUGAAAAAUAGGACUUACCUGGCGAAGUCCUGAGGGGAUGACAGAAGAAGGGUUGGAAAACCUGGUGCUUCCUGAUAAUUCCCGAUCAUAGGGUUUGAAAACUCGGUGUUUCCUGACUGCAAGGGUUGAAAACUCGAGGCUUCCCGGUUGCAAGGUUGAUCUAUUCAUUUCUUUGGGAUUUUCCUAAUGGCAGGGUUCAUCCCAUUGUCCUUUUAUUCCAUGAUCAAAACCGAUUCUUUAUUAUCAUCACCACAAUGCUUCUUUCUCUUUCCACCAUCUUGCUGGACCUCAUUAAGGAUUUUCCUGAUUUGAAACAUAGGUCCCCACCUCUUUGAUGCUCCAUCGUCAUAGGGUGCUAUUGUUUGUAUCCCAAAGCUUUCUUUGUUCUUCCGAUGCAUUGGCUCAUUCAUGUGUUAGCCAUCCACUCAGCUGUAAAUGCAGUGCCCAUCUCGGGCUGUCUUCGACAGUUACUGCUUGCAUCGUUCAUCAAGCUUGACCCUGCCCCCAAGUGUGGUAUUGCUUGAUUCAUCAUGAAGGAUUUUCUCUCUGGCUUCUUCUGAGAAUUAUCCUCUGAUUGAUUGUGUGCAUCAUGCUAACACCCAUCAAGAUUGUUAAUCAGUCAUGAACUUGCCUUCGGUUGAAACACCAUUCAAGUAUGUAUGGUCACCAGCCUUCAUGGAACUGCCAAGUCAUCCAGACAUGGAUCUCAUGCUUUGCAGUAAACAGCUCAUCAUUGUAAGCACGAUGUAUUUCUCUAUGGAUUCCUCUUAGCUUGUCAAAUCAGAUCAUGAACAUAACCGAUAACAUCUGUCAGGAGUCAUAGCCAUGUUUUACAGGGUAACCCAAGAUACGGAUAUGAAAAUAUCCUUCAAGUGCAGCGUUGCUCAUCAAUUGCUGCUGAAGUGCACUAGAUCAUGGAUUGUCUUUGAACAACCUUGCCCCAGCAAUGAUAUGAAUGCUCGUUCAUCAGUUUAUACUCAAGGAUGUUUUCCUUUGUCAUCGUCAGAUGUUAAACAUAACUUUCCGGGACUUGGAUGACUCAUCAUCUGAUUCUUUCUUUGCCCCCAGCUGAUCUGGCUACUGUCUUUUUUCCUUCUUAGGGUCCACUGUAUUGCCCCCAGGUGGUCAACGUUUCAAGGAGUUUUGAGAAGAGUUGAUGUCAUUUCAUGUCAAGGAUUCCGCAAACUCAAUGAGUGUUCUUCUUUGUUUGACAAUCUUUCUUGUUCUAGAAUCAAAUCUCAUACUUCAAAGGUCAUGUCUAUUUAAGUCUAAUUGUUGAAAUGAAAUCAGAGAGAUGUCUAUUUUUUGAAAUUAUUAUUUUUCUUUGAAAUUCAAACUUCUUUGGUCAAAGACCCAACACACUAUUCAAUGCAGUCCUUUGAUUGUCUUGUAUCUUGAAAACAGAAAUGACUUAUUGUAAGAUUUAAAAUGAUUUUUUUCAUGGUUCUUUGUGUCCAUUUUAAACUCUGAUUUUGGGUAUAUCUUUUGAUGGUCUGUGAUGAGAUGACGUUUUUAUGAACUUCAAAAACAAGAUGCUCAGGCUUUAUCAAGAAAGGUUGUUUCUUUUCUUAGCAUUUAUUUUAUCAGCAUGCAUAAUAACCAGUAGCUUAAUUCAUAAAGUCACGACUCUUAUGGAAAAGCUCUUCAAGUUUUGAGAGCGCCAUUUAUCGAUUCAAAUUGCUUGCUUGAUUAAAAAGGGCUUUUAAAAGCAUGUAAUGCAGGCUAUGGUUCAUGGCUAUGAAAGAAAAGAAUUUCAAAGGCUCAAAAGGUGUUUGAGGGUUUCAACGACUAGGAUCAACAUUAUAUUCAUCGAUUCUCUUUCUCUUGUCGUCAUUGUAGAGAAAGUGACAUAUAACCUUGUUAAUCUCAAAUAUCAGAAUUCUCUUAACAUAGGUCGUAAUGCAAAUCCAACUUUUUCUUUGAUGAAUAACCAAUCUAAAUUUUGAAGACAUUAGAGGCUUUAUCCUAGACACACCAAAAGAUAUGAAGCAUCGAUUUUUCUAGUGUUGACUUUUGGCAUUUAUUGUCUUUUCUCAUUUGAAAGUUGUCUUGCCUCUCUUAGAAUUGGUAGGCAUUUUCUUUCAUUUCCUCAAAGUUUUUCUUGGAUGGCCCUCAAUCUAUGGAUUUUCUUCUUCUAGCCCUUUCUCAAACAUUGGACUUUUGUUCUAAGCUUUUCUUUGAUCCAUUGAUUUUAUCCGUGUCUCCAAAAUAUUUCUCAUUUGCCCCCAGUGUGGGGUGUGAUCCUAGUCAAGGUUUUUAUGAAAAAAUAAUCUAUCCAGCUCAAAAUGGGACUACAAGGGAGAUAAUUUUUAGAAAGUGACAGGAUAUCAAAGAUGGCCUUUUCUCAUUUUCAAGCAAGGUCGGUUAGAAUCGAUAAAUUUUGACCUCGUCCAGUGUAAUGAUUUGGACUUGCAAGAAUCAUGAUUCACGAGUCCAUAACUACCAACUCCACUACAUGUCAUUAUGCAUACUGCUAAAACUUAGCUAUAUGAUGUGUGGUUCAAUUUUGUGUAUGAGCGCAAAAUUUGUUUGGUCACCUCAUGUCAUUUCAACAAGAAUCAAGUCAUUUCUGUAAUCAAAACACUUUUAAUCUUCAGGAUUGAUUAACCUUUAUCGCAUGUUGGAGUUUGAUCAAAAUAUUUUGUCAAAAUACCCUUUGAAAGAAGUAUCUCUUGAUUUCAAAACAACAAGAAGACAAAGAAAAGACAUGUUUCGUUCAAGGAUGAGAUGUGAUCCCAAAACAAAAUGGAAAAAUGUCAAAAAUCCAUAACAAAAAUGCUUGACAGUUUAACUCCUUCUUGGAUCAGCUUCUCUGGCAAUAUCUAUGUUUUGCCUAGCAACUCUGAUCACUUGUCAUUCUGAAAAUGAUUGACGACAUCAUCUUUCGCAAAUUGAGCUCGACUCUUGAAACUCUUGCAUCUGCUUAACUAAAUGGCCAAGGACCCCCACCAUGACAACACAUUUGUUGUCCAGGUUGAACCACCUGGAAAAUAGUGGUUACAUGGGAUUUGUCGGAGUCAAGCAAAAUUCUGGAAUCUGGCAGAUGCUGGUCGACAAACUUAAACGGCAGAGGAAUGUCCCAUCUUGGCAAAGACAUUUGAGCAAUUGAUGCUACCGUGAGACCUGGCUAUACCACAUAAUUAAGGGUUCACACCGUCGAAGUCAUCUCCUAAUUCACCUCUCAUCAUUGUUCUGGAAUCCAUGGCAGAUCCUUCAAUCUUUUCUCUCUUCAUAGCUUGCUCCAUUCUUCGGCAAAUCCUCACAACAUCAUUUUAAUCUUCCAAUGUUGUUGUGGUUGGCUACGGAUUGUUAGAAAACUUUCCAACAGCUUGGUAAUCUUGGCAGCGCACAAAAACUUGUAGUAUCGCCACUACCGACGUGUGGAAUCACACAUUGUCUCUAUUGGAAGAGCACCUGAUGAAUCUAAAACUCCUUUGUCCCCUCUUCGAUUUCUCACUGACAGUGCAGCAAACAAACACCUAUAGAGGAAGUCCUGCGAUGUUGAAGUUUCAGUAUUCUUCAUGUUUUUUUAGUCUAGGCAUGUCUCUUCUCCCUACUUUUGCGUUUUAAUACUAACACUGUUGGAGGAAAAUCAUAGAUGAUUAGAAACUACUGUAUUUCUUCUUGGAUUUCCCACUUGCGGAUACACAAACAGAUUCCUGCUGAGAGAGCUCUGCUACGUUGAAGUUUGAUGUCUGCUCAUAUUUUUCAGACCAGGUCUGACUCUUCAACCUACUAAGAUGGUCUUCGUGCUGAAACUGAUGAGAGAAAUAUUUGUAGCAUAUGCAACUUAUAAAUCCCCUCUUGCAUUCCCAAUUUGCAGAGCCAUAAAUGGAUUUUUGUAGAGAGAGCUCUGCCACAUUGAAGUUUGACGACUGCUAAUAUUAUCAGACCAGGUCUGACUCUUCUGCCUACUACAAUGUUUUGCUGGUGCCACUGGUGGGAAAAAGUUUCAAAGCAUAUGAAAUUAAUACAUCCCCUUUUGCAUUUCCUAUUGGCAGAUCCACAAAUAAAUCUCUUCAGAGAGAGCUCUACCACGUUGAAGUUCAGUGUCUGAUCAUGGUUUUUCAGACCAACAUCAUGUGCUGCUAAACUGGAAUUGAGCUCAUAAUUAGGGUAACUUCAAAACAGACUAAUGCACCAUGAACAGGAGGCUAGUAGUCAUUUGGUUCCAUUAGAUGAUGUGGAGGCAAUGAACAUUUAACAGUGCAACUGGACAAGAACUAGAGUUGUCAUUAGUUGAUGACUGAAGGCAUUGUUGUUGUUGCUCAGGAUGGAAAAGGAGAGAUACAACUUCAAUUGGACAUGAACAAGCAGUGUUCCCAUAGAAGACUAUGCAGACAUUCUCUUUCCAUUUGAUGCUCAACACUUGUUCGAGCAGAUCUGAGUCCAGCUACUUCAACUUUGAUGCUCUCAACCUUAAUCUGAAAAUGAGCCUCUAUCUGACACCUUUCUUCACCUCCAUCAUUUUCUCCAAUCACGUGUAGCACAGCUUGUGCGGGGGACCUACCUUUCAACCCGGUACAUGCAUGUAAUCUAUAUGACGAACUCGCCCUUCGAGGGCUGACAAUAUGGUCGUAACUCAAGAAUCGUGAUUUUGCCCAAACUCUACAAUGAAAAUUUUCGGAGUGACGGCCAAUGUGUCACCCACAAGUCUUGAGUUCAAGAUGCUUCAAGAAGGGUUUGCUCAUGCAAAACAAUAGCACAUACAUCCUAAGACAGGUCUAUUCAUUUUACGUGAGACAGGGUAGGUUUGCUACUUGGUCUCUAAAAGGGUCUCUUGUUGUCCCAGUGAUCGCCUUCGUAAAGGCAAUAUAGGGGCCCAGUAGGUAAUUGGUUGGCACGUGUACCAAUUAUUACCAGUCUAGGCACUCAACAAAGAGUUGGGGUUACACAAACUUAAACCUCGACUCAAGUCAUAAGGUAAGCUGCUAGUCCCCCACCUAACCUAAAGCUGGUGUGUGCUUUCAAAAAUUAAAACAUGUGAUGCAUGAGAGAAAUAUAUAUACAAUGCAUGAAUAAAACACAAAUAAACUAAACAAAGCACAAAAAAAAUAAAUUAAACACAUCAAAACACAAAGCUUAGUCCGAUAAAGUUGAAAACAAUACCUUCCCCAGUGGAGUCGCCAUUCUGUCGCACCCCAAAAAAAACAUCACGCGCGGCUUCGGCUGGCGAUUUUUCUUCGUUUGUUGCGUUUGCUUUGAAUUUGAUUUGUGGGAGUCGCCACCUAGUAAUUCAUUGACGGCUACUAGGAAACCUGAUGUACUGGUCUUGUCAGAGAUCGCGGGUAAGGGACUGGUUGUGGUUAGGGAAGGUAUUAGCACCCCUAACACACCCUACCUGAGGUAAGUUGCUUUGUGUUCUGAUGUGAUUUGAAAAUUUAAAAUAUUAAUUAAAUUCUAAGGCUUGAAUAAAUCAGUUAUUAAAUCCCCGAAUAUGUGUAGAAACAUGUUCUCACACUUUCAUGGAAAAUACAACUUGAUUUUAUUUGUCCUUGAGAUAUUUAACCAUAUUUAAAUUAACAAUUAAUUCUUUUUGUCCUUUUAUUUUUACAAUUCAAUAACAUAAAUAAAAAUACAAACACACACACAUCUCUUUUUAUUAUAUUUUUCCAUACACCCACAUUUACAUAAUAAUAUAACUUAAACAAACAAAAAAAAACAAAAAAACUAAAUAACAGUAAUUUAACUAACUGUUCAAACAUGUUACAAUUACAAAAAAAAAAGUCCUUAAAAAAUCAAGGAACUGCAGAGGAAGGCCUCGGGAACUGUUGAAGCAGUGCGGCGCGUCUGGUCCACGCGCCGCUGCGAAAAAAAACACGCAGGGGAGAUCCGAAACGGCUUCAUCCCCUCAUCACUUUCCUCGUCGGCGGCGACAGCGUUGUCACCUGCAAAACACCAAAACGCAAGAAGCAAGGUUUCCGGUUCUGUCUCCUUUUUUGGAUCUCUUCUCUGCUGUCAUUUUUUUUGUUUUCGGUUCAUUGUUCUCUCCUUCUCCAGGUGAUAAAUCAUUGGCAGUUGAGGGAGGAGGGCUGGAGACUGGGAGCGGACAGAUCGGGGAUCAGUGGGCGUCGCUGUGUCGGGCUGCUACUGGAGGCGCCGAUGCGGUCCGGGCGAGCAGGUUGACUGACGAACGACGAUGGGGAGCUGUUGUGCUGAGGGCAGAUCUUGGUCGGGUGGCUUGGGUUAUGGAGAGUGAGGGGCUAUCUGUGGCCAGCUGGGAUUUGAAGAUGAGAGGAAAAAUCGGGUGAAGGCUGCCUUGGAGAACUGGUUCGGUGCUGGGAGAAGGAAGGUGGACGGCUGGUUUCGGGUUCGGUGAGGAAGGGGAAAAUCGGUUGUGGCUGGUUGAAGGAGAAGAAGAAAAAUCAAAAGGGGAGUGUGGGGGCUGGUCGAUCGGUUGAGGGAGAAAAGAAAGCUCCCGAUGAGGGCUCCGGUGGAGAGGAAGAAGAAGAGAAAUAGUGAUGAAGGGGGAGAGGGUGGCUGUGAUGGGCUGCUCCGGUUUUGUUGGCUAGAAAAGGGAGAAGAAAAAUGGGGCCAGGACUGGAAGAGUGAGGGCACCGGAAAUGGAGAGGGCUGUGUGAGGGCAAAAAAAAACAUGGGGGCCGGCGGCUGGUUUUUUCAGAGAAGAACACUAGAAAGAAAAAUUUAAAACUAGUGGGGGGAGUCGCCGCCGGCCCCUUUUUUUUUUAGUGGGGAGAAAGAGUUGGGUUUUAGGGUUUUUGUGUUUUUUUCUGAAUGUGUCAAAAAUGCCCUCCCUGUUUGCAAGUGUUGGAAACCAGUAUUUAUAGGCAAAAAAUGUUGCCAAGUUUUUCAACUUGGUCCCUCAACUUCUUUCUUUUUUGUAAAUUUUGAUUUUUUCUUAUUUUUUUGUAUUUUUUGAAAACGAGCAAUAUCAACGUCGACUCGACGAGGAAAAUCAACGAUUUUAAAAAUGACGAGUGAAAAGUUGAACGCGUUUGAAAAUCUUUUUUAAAAUUUAAAUUCUUUUUUUUUAGACGACGUUGAAAAUGCUAAAAUGACGAAAAUAUAUUAAAAAACAUAUUUUUUGGAUUUUCUUUGUUUUUCUCUAUUUUUUGAAUUUUUUGAAAAUAUAUCAAAACAUGGGUCAAAAAUUGGGUAGCAACAAUACAUAUAUAUAAAUGCAUUUUUUUUAGGAAAUAUGCCGAGAGCUAAACAUGUAGUUAAUACCGAUUAUGUCGGUAAUGAUGAAGAGGACAUUCCUAUCGCUCAGCUUAGGAAGGAGAGGCGCAAAAAGAGAGUUAGAAACCCUUCGCCUCAACCAAUGGAAGCCGAAGUUCAGGAUGAGAUUGAAUUUAAGGGGGACUAUGGUCUGGAUGUUGGUAAGAACCAGGAGCAGGAAUCCCAUGAUAGGGUAUCUUCUACUGAUAGUGCUUUGGAUAAAAUUGGGCAGGCCAUGCAGACCCUGGUUGACCUUUUAACUGAGAAAGAAAAGGAGAAGGAUAACAAUGCAUCUUCGACUUCCCAUACUGUGCAUGGGGUGAAAGUACCAUUGGCAGAGUUCCUUAAGUUGGCACCUCCUCCCUUUAAGGGUGUAGAUAACUCUAAGGAUCCACAACAGUUUUUAGAUGCAGUGUGGGGUAGGUGUGAGGCCAUGGGGUGCACGGAUCAUCGUGCAGUGACUUUAGCAUCUUUUAGGCUAGAAGGCGAGGUGGCUGUGAACUGGUAUGAGUCCAAGAGAGGUAAGAGGGCAGCUAGUUCUCCACCGAUGGUGUGGAAGGAAUUUUCUGAGAUGUUUUUGGAGCGUUUUCUACCUGGAAGUGUGAGGGAAGCUAGAUCAUACGAGUUUGAGAAGUUGGUUCAGGGUGACUUGACUGUGACAGAGUAUGAAGUGGAAUUCACGCGGUUGUCCAGAUUUGCUGGGUAUUUGGUACCGACUGAGGAAAGGAAGAUCAAGAGGUUUGUUCGGGGUCUUAAUAGCUACCUAUUCAAAGCUAUUGGGGCUCAUGAGUGUCGCACGUGUGCGGCGUCGCGGCGAAAAUAACAUAGUUUUUCCAUUUUCUUAAUCUAUAAUGUAAAUCUAUCUAUAUCUAUGGGGAUACAACAAAAAUAUUGUCUUUUAUUGGUAGAAAAUGGAAUGGGAGUCGCCACCUAGUAUUUUGGUCACUAGGAACCCUAACUGGUCUUAGAGAUCGGGUACGGGGACUGUUUGCGUAAAGGGAAGGUAUUAGCACCCCAAAUACGCCCUACCUAAGGUAAGCUGCAUUGUUUUAUUGUCUGAUAAAAACUAAGGUAUUUUCGUGUUUUCCUAGUUGUUGGUCUGUCUAUGGUUCAAGAAAAAUCCUCCUCGGUAAGAAAGGCUUUAUCUUAUCGGGUAAAAUCCUAACCGUUCUAACGUCCAUACCAAAAUUUCAUUAAUAAUAUUUAGGAAUACGUUUUACGUAUAAAUUCGUAAUCCCAAAUACUAAAAGAAAACAAAAAAAAAAGAUUUUUUUGAAUUUUUGAAAUAUUGGCCUAGUUCUCAUGGCUUAAAUAAACUGGUUAUUAAAGCCAAAAUGCAUGCUAAUACAUAUAUUGUUUUGAAAAUUUUUUUUGUUGUGUGAAAAUAUGAUGUUAUAAUAUUUAUAUAUAUAUAUAUAUAUAUAUUGGAGAGACUAGGCCGUAUGCAUGAAAACAAAACCCUUUUUUGGAAAAUAUUUAUUUUUUGAUGCUUUAACAAAAAUCGGGUAUUUUAAUACUGGGUUUGUAUUCUUACGGUAUAAAAAUACAACCCAAUAUUAAUCCACUUUGAUAAAAAUAUGCAGAAAAAUCAACAACAUUUUUAGGGACUUUUUAGAAUUUUUUUGAAAGCAAAAACAUUUUUUAUUCUGAAAAUCUUUGAUAUUUUGACGAAAACCGGGUAUUUUUAACACUGGUUUUGUAUCUUUACGGUAUAAAAAUACAAACCAACAUUAAACCACUUUGACAAAAACAUGCAGAAAAAUCAACAAUAUUUUUUAAGAUUUUUCAAAAUAUAUUUUUUUAAAGAAAAAAUAUACAUAUAUAUAUACAUAUAUAAUAUAAUAAUACACACACACACAUAUAUAUAUAAUUCACGUCCUGCGUGAACAGUAGGACGUGAAUUAUAUUUCACGCCUACUGUUCAUGCAGUGAACAGUAGACAGGGAGGAAGAAGAAGAAGAAGGAGGAAGAAGAAGAAGAAAAAGGAGGAAAGGAAAAGGAAGGAGGAGGAAAGGAAGAGGGCUCACUUGGCCGAAGAGGUUGUGGCUGCUGCGAUGAGGUGGUUCAGCCGGUGGUUGCAGCGGUGGAGUUGGAGGAAGACGGCGUCGGUUUCCUGUUGCAGAGAAGGGAGAAAGAAGAAGAAAAAUCUGCAGAAAUUGGGCGAAAAUGCUGGUUUUUGGCUGACUUUGGACCUGAAUUUUCAACCCUCAGAUCAUCAAAUCCGACUCUAUUUAUAGGCUGUGGAAGAGGGCAAUCUUGUCUACGUUGGGGAAAAAUUUCAGCCCUUGAUUCAGUUGGGAAGCAUCUCAACCGUUGGCUCAAAGUGUGCACCUCGAGCUGCCAAAUUUGGCAGCUCCAGGCUGUGAACUGCCCGAGGUGGCCACUUUGAGCCACUCACCGGAGCCGUUUAUGACUUUUUCGACCCGACCUGAUCAUUCUCCGGGAUAAAGGGGUUGCAUGUGGCCAUGUUGGUGUAUGUUGUGUCGGAUUUGGAGGCCACACGAGCCGGAAAACGCGCCUGGAAAGCAGCCACUCAGGCAGCUUUUUGAGGAAGAAAGUGAACAGUAAUUUAAGGCACCUUUUCCAAAUUGGUCCCUAGUUUCGGAUUUUCUCAAUUAAGUCCCUAAUUGGCCAUCAAACUUCAAUAUUUAUGCAAUUAUGCCCCUGAUUUGACUUAAUAAAUUCCUAAAAAUUAUAAUUUGACCCCAGAACUUAAAUUUCUUCCAAUUAAAGCCCAAAUUGACUUAAAAAACAAUUUUUCUUGCAAUCAAAUCCCCUAUAAAAUCAAUUAAAAAUCCAAUUAAGUCCAUAAACAUCCAAACUUGGGCUUUUCUCCUCAAAAUUCAAAUUUCCUUCUCAACAGGGCUCUCAUCCUUCAAGAAUAUACUGUCAAAAAUCCAAUCUUUGUAUUUUUAACCUCCUUGACCGAUUUUUCUGACCAUUUGCCGAGCGCUUCUGCCUCCUGUUAUUUUUCUAACCUCCUUUGGCUAUUUAUUUUAUUUCAUUUAUUUGGGGACCCAAAAAUGGGUUACAACAGAUGCCCCCUCUUUAUAAAGCUUACGGAGCAGAGGUUCUGCGCAGUAAGUUUUAUAAAGAUAAACCAAAACUGAGCUCCCGAAACUGAUCUGGUCGGAGCUCGAUUGCUCUGAAACUUUGUCUUUACAACAAUCCUCCUCAACCCAAAAACUAUGAUCAAAAUUUAGUCAUCUCGAGAUCCCUUCUGGCGAUCUCCUUUAACCCCAAAAACUUGGAAUCCCAUCUGGCGAUUCCUUUACCCAUAACCAAAUACAAAAACGCAUGUGUGGUCUCAUUAUGAUGGGUGACCUGCCCGAGUGGAAAAGGGAAAGAGUGGUCUCAUUCUUUGGGUGACCUACCCAGGGGGAAGAAUGACCUUAUUAUUAUGGGUGACCUACCCAGGUAAAAAAAGAUGAAGAAUGGUCUCAUUGUAUGGGCGACCUACCCAGAAAAAUAAUGGUCUCAUUGUAUGGGUGACCUACCCAAGAAAAAUGAUGGUCUCAUUGUAUGGGUGACCUACCCAAAAAAAAAAAAUGAUGGUCUCAUUGUAUGGGUGACCUACCCGAGAAAAAUGAUGGUCUCAUUGUAUGGGUGACCUACCCAGAAAAAAAUGAUGGUCUCAUUGUAUGGGUGACCUACCCAGGAAAAAAUAAUGGUCUCAUUGUAUGGGUGACCUACCCAGGAAAAAUAAUGGUCUCAUUGUAUGGGUGACCUACCCAAGAAAAAUGAUGGUCUUAUUGUAUGGGUGACCUACCCAUGGUUCAUUGUAUGGGUGACCUAAAGAAAAUGAUGGUCUCAUUGUAUGGGUGACCUACCCAAGAAAAAUGAUGGUCUCAUUGUAUGGGUGACCUACCCGAGAAAAAUAAUGGUCUCAUUGUAUGGGUGACCUACCCAGGGGGAAUAAUGGUCUCAUUGUAUGGGUGACCUACCCAGGAAAAAUGAUGGUCUCCUUGUAUGGGUGACCUACCCGAGAAGAAUUCUUAGUAAACUCCAUGCUUCUCUAAGAAAUGGUUUCAAUAUGAGGUCUCUUCUGGCGACCUUCCUUGAUGAAUGUCGAAGUACGAGAUCCCUUCUGGCGAUCUCAAAUAACUUGGAAUCCCAUCUGGCGAUUCCUUUUAUUCAAAGCUGAAAUAUUAGGUCCCAGACCUUCAUCGAAAUAUGAGAUCCCUUCUGGCGAUCUCCUUUAGCCAAACAACUUGGAAUCCCAUCUGGCGAUUCCUUUUAUACCAAAGCUGAAAUUUAAGGUCCCUUCUGGCGACCUCCAUUGAUGAAUAUCGAAAACGAGACCCCUUCUGGAGAUCUCAAACAACUUGGAAUCCCAUCUGGUGAUUCCUUUUAUUCAAAGCUGAAAUAUGAGGUCCCUUCUGGCGACCUCCAUCGAAAUAUGAGAUCCCUUCUGUCGAUCUCAACAACUUGGAAUCCCAUUUGGCGAUUCCUUUUUACCGAAUGCUAUCGAUGUCGUUCUUCCUGCUAGCAGGGUUUGAAAACCAUUAUCUUCUCUUCUUGUUGUUCUAGAAUCAACUCAAUGAUUCUUUCUUCGUCCAUAAUCUUGUUGGAAUGCGCUAAGAUCUCCUCCUGUAACGAUCCAAAAAACAUAUAUGCAAUGAUUUAUGAUUAGAUGCAAUGCAUGCAUUUAUACCUGGUUUUGAAACAUAGGUCCCAGCCUCUUCUUCUAGUUCAUGAGACUCCCUCUUAACAUUAACUUGCUUUUGAAGUCGUAUGCUGGAUUUAUCUCUCGUGUUGCCUAUCAUAUUCUUGGAGAAGAAGUCUUUGACUUUCUUCAAGUAGUCCUUUUCUCAAAAUGUAUGACUUGUAUUUGCCUCUUUGUCAUGCUUUUGUCAAAUGCUUUAGCUUGGUUUUCAAAUCUAUAGGCUUUCGUAAAACUUUUCAUAAAACAUCUCGUCUUGCCCCCAGUGUAGGGGUGCGAUCCUUGUCUGGGCUUUUAUAUAGAGAAGAAAUUCAUUUCGACUCAAAACAAAACCACCAACAAAAAACUCUUUAGAGAGUGAAAGGACAAUAAUUUUUUUUUUAAAAAAAAAAAUGCACAUUGUUAGGAUUGAUAAACUCUAUUUUUAUCUUGAAAGAAAAUUUACAGGUGAUGUAUCAAUUCAUUAUGUUAUCCAGAGGUGAGGUUGUAUUUCAAGGGUAGCUUUUCUUAAAUUUCAUAUUAAACCCAUUUUAUGAUACUUUAUUUGUAACCACUCAAACUUGUUCAAAAAGUGCAUAAUCUCAUCAUUUAUUUAAAGAAAAGGUAGGCUCAAAGACAAACACAAAAUCUGGCUGACAUCAUGAGCCCUGAUUGCCCACUAGAGAAAAUAAAAGCAAUGACAAAAGCAAAUGACAAAAACAUGCUAAGGCAAAUAAAGUUUUACAUUUUGAAAACUACGAGAAUUCUUGGGUCAACCCGUUCUGAAACUUCUUCUAGUGUGUGGAAAGUCAACCGAGGCAAUGCUUCAUCUUCCUUCCCCACUUGUGUUUCCUUGUUCUCUUCUCCUUCAAUCUCGCCUUCUUCAUUAUUGACGAUUCUUGACCAAGGUUUUCCAACCCUUUAUCCCCUAUCACUUUUGUCAUGACCAGGCAAUGGAUUUGAACUGAUAUUGGGUGUGUCUUCAAAUGACACCCAUCCUAUCUUGAUGAGCUUCAACAACUUGUUCUUGACCAUAGCACGUUUCAAGACAAUGCCCGGGAAUACCAGCAUGGUACUCGCAAGUCAACUCGGGCUUAUACCAGAUGGGGAAUGGUGGCUGUAGUGGUAAUGUAGGGAUAGGAUCUAUUUGUCCAAUGCUCAGUAGUUUGCCAUAUAUGUCCUUCAGAGGCAUGGGUAAUGGCGGUAAUUGUUCUGAAAUGUAUCUUGUGUUUGGUCUUUGGUUGUUUUGGGUGUUUGACUGGCCAUUUGCUCGAUUAGGGGAAAAAGGUUUGUUAAAGUUUAUGUGGGCCACAUGAGAGGUAGGUAUUUGUGGGUUAUAUGAAUCCGUUAUCUUGUCAUUGGACCCACCUUCGAAGUUGUUAACGGGACCUUUCAAUUUUCUUCCGAAAAAACCCUUUGUCUCCAAUGGCUCAAUUAUGCGUCCAGCUUUAAUCCCUUGCUCUAUUCUUUCCGCUAUGCGUACAGCAUCAUAGAAAUGUUGAGAUGAGCUACCCAUUAAAUGCUCAUAGUAGGGUGCCUUGAAUGUGUUGGCGAACAAAGUCACCAUCUCCGUUUCUAUCAAAGGGGGUUGCACAUGCAUGGCCUCGUCCCUCCACCUUUGCGCAUAAGCCCUUACUGAUUCUUGGCUUCUCUUUUCCAUUGACAUAAGGCUCGUUCGAUCUGGAGCAAUUUCCAAAUUGAACUUGUAUUGCUUAAGGAAAGCCUCAACUAAAUCCUUCCAUUUCUUGAUCUUGGCAUUAUCCAGCCUCAUGUACCAACUUAGCGCCGACCCCGAUAGACUGUCUUGGAAAAAGUAGAUCAGUAACUUAUCGUCAUGAAUCACCUCAGCCAUCUUAUUGCAAUAAGAUCGAAGGUGAGUGUUUGGGCAUUCCAACCCAGUGUACUUUAUAAACUCCGGUAUCCUAAAAUCUUUUGGUACCGUGAUGUUUGGUACCAAGCAUAUUUCAGACGCCCGCAUGGGGUCAAACCAGUCAUUUCCCUCGACUGCUCUUAACCUUUCUUCCAAGGCUGAUAUCUUGUCAUCGUUCAUAAAUCCAGUGGACCUAUUAUCGGAAGGCCCAUCUGCUGUGAUGUGAGCUUGAGGGGGCUGAAUGGGAAUGGCAGGUGCAAAGUGCUGCCCCGUCACUGAAUCUGCCCCCAAGUUCUGAGAUACCCCCGGGACAUGAACUGACGGUGCUCCUAUAGGUGGUUGGGUAGAUGUUCCCUCCCCGUUCUUGGCUCUUAAAAGUUGCUCAAGUAGAUUGGUCAUUCGAGACACUUCAUUCCUUACGGCUUCCAAUUCACUUUGGUAGCGGGAUUCUAGGAUGGCCCUCUCUUCAUUCUCCAUUCUUGAUCUUAAACGAGUUUGAUGGACUCUGGGUGUGGGACCUAUGUUUCACGAUCUGUAAUGCAUAUGAUAACAAAAUGCGUGAUGAAAAUGUGAUGCACAAGUGAUGUGUGAUGAGUAUAAUAUUGCAAAAAGAUACAUAACCUAAGGACAAGCUCUAUUUAUCAAGUGAGAGUGGGUAGUUUUUUCUAUCUAGUCUUGAAGGUUCUCAUAUCUGCCCAGUGACGUUCUUCGUAAAGACAGUAUGGGGGCGUUGCAAGGAAUAGCUAAGACACGUAUGUCCGCCAUUACCAAGCAGGCACUCGGAUAUGAGUUGGGUGUUUCACGCAUUUAAACCCUGACCGAUAGUCUUAGGGUAAAUCGCUAAUUCCCCACUUAACUUAAGGCUUGUGUGUGCUUCUCAAAAAUAAAAGCAAGUGAUGCAUGAGACAAUUUUAUACAAUGCAUAAAUAAUACGCGUAAAAUAAAAAUAAAUAUGCAAAUAAAAGGAAAGGCAUAUUAACAAUAAACACACAAAACACAAACAAAUCAGACAAAAACAAAGCUUAGUCUACAAGGUCCCCAGUGGAGUCGCCAUUCUGUCGCACGUGUGCGGCGUCGCGGCGAAAAUAACAUAGUUUUUCCAUUUUCUUAAUCUAUAAUGUAAAUCUAUCUAUAUCUAUGGGGAUACAACAAAAAUAUUGUCUUUUAUUGGUAGAAAAUGGAAUGGGAGUCGCCACCUAGUAUUUUGGUCACUAGGAACCCUAACUGGUCUUAGAAAUCGGGUACGGGGACUGUUUGCGUAAAGGGAAGGUAUUAGCACCCCAAAUACGCCCUACCUAAGGUAAGCUGCAUUGUUUUAUUGUCUGAUAAAAACUAAGGUAUUUUCGUGUUUUCCUAGUUGUUGGUCUGUCUAUGGUUCAAGAAAAAUCCUCCUCGGUAAGAAAGACUUUAUCUUAUCGGGUAAAAUCCUAACCGUUCUAACGUCCAUACCAAAAUUUCAUUAAUAAUAUUUAGGAAUACGUUUUACGUAUAAAUUCGUAAUCCCAAAUACUAAAAGAAAACAAAAAAAAAAGAUUUUUUGAAUUUUUGAAAUAUUGGCCUAGUUCUCAUGGCUUAAAUAAACUGGUUAUUAAAGCCAAAAUGCAUGCUAAUACAUAUAUUGUUUUGAAAAUUUUCUUUGUUGUGUGAAAAUAUGAUGUUAUAAUAUUUAUAUAUAUAUAUAUAUAUUGGAGAGACUAGGCCGUAUGCAUGAAAACAAAACCCUUUUUUGGAAAAUAUUUAUUUUUUGAUGUUUUAACAAAAAUCGGGUAUUUUAAUACUGGGUUUGUAUUCUUACGGUAUAAAAAUACAACCCAAUAUUAAUCCACUUUGAUAAAAAUAUGCAGAAAAAUCAACAACAUUUUUAGGGACUUUUUAGAAUUUUUUUGAAAGCAAAAACAUUUUUUAUUCUGAAAAUCUUUGAUAUUUUGACGAAAACCGGGUAUUUUUAACACUGGUUUUGUAUCUUUACGGUAUAAAAAUACAAACCAACAUUAAACCACUUUGACAAAAACAUGCAGAAAAAUCAACAAUAUUUUUUAAGAUUUUUCAAAAUAUAUUUUUUUAAAGAAAAAAUAUACAUAUAUAUAUAAUAUAAUAUAUUAUAAUAUAUAAUAUAAUAAUACACACACACACAUAUAUAUAUAAUUCACGUCCUGCGUGAACAGUAGGACGUGAAUUAUAUUUCACGCCUACUGUUCAUGCAGUGAACAGUAGACAGGGAAGAAGAAGAAGAAAAGGAGGAAGAAGAAGAAGAAGGAGGAAAGGAAAAGGAAGGAGGAGGAAAGGAAGAGGGGCUCACUUGGCCGAAGAGGUUGUGGCUGCUGCGAUGAGGUGGUUCAGCCGGUGGUUGCAGCGGUGGAGUUGGAGGAAGACGGCGUCGGUUUCCUGUUGCAGAGGAAGGGAGAAAGAAGAAGAAAAAUCUGCAGAAAUUGGGCGAAAAUGCUGGUUUUUGGCUGACUUUGGACCUGAAUUUUCAACCCUCAGAUCAUCAAAUCCGAUAUUUAUAGGCUGUGGAAGAGGGCAAUCUUGUCUACGUUGGGAAAAAUUUCAGCCCUUGAUUCAGUUGGGAAGCAUCUCAACCGUUGGCUCAAAGUGUGCACCUCGAGCUGCCAAAUUUGGCAGCUCCAGGCUGUGAACUGCCCGAGGUGGCCACUUUGAGCCACUCACCGGAGCCGUUUAUGACUUUUUCGACCCGACCUGAUCAUUCUCCGGGAUAAAGGGGUUGCAUGUGGACAUGUUGGUGUAUGUUGUGUCGGAUUUGGAGGCCACACGAGCCGGAAAACGCGCCUGGAAAGCAGCCACUCAGGCAGCUUUUUGAGGAAGAAAGUGAACAGUAAUUUAAGGCACCUUUUCCAAAUUGGUCCCUAGUUUCGGAUUUUCUCAAUUAAGUCCCUAAUUGGCCAUCAAACUUCAAUAUUUAUGCAAUUAUGCCCCUGAUUUGACUUAAUAAAUUCCUAAAAAUUAUAAUUUGGCCCCAGAACUUAAAUUUCUUCCAAUUAAAACCCAAAUUGACUUAAAAAACAAUUUUUCUUGCAAUCAAAUCCCCUAUAAAAUCAAUUAGAAAUCCAAUUAAGUCCAUAAACAUCCAAACUUGGGCUUUUCUCCUCAAAAUUCAAAUUUCCUUCUCAACAGGGCUCUCAUCCUUCAAGAAUAUACUGUCAAAAAUCCAAUCUUUGUAUUUUUAACCUCCUUGACCGAUUUUUCUGACCAUUUGCCGAGCGCUUUUGCCUCCUGUUAUUUUUCUAACCUCCUUUGGCUAUUUAUUUUAUUUCAUUUAUUUGGGGACCCAAAAAUGGGUUACAACACCUAUAUUUCAAAUCAGGUAAGGAUGCAUGCAUAUCAUCUAACCUCAAAAAAAAAAAAAAAAACCAUUUGCACAUAUUUUUGAAUUGUUACAGGAAAAUCCUUAAUGAGGUCCAGCAAGAUGGUGGAAAAAGAAAGAAGCAUUGUGGUGAUGAUAAUGAAGAAUCGGUUUUGAUCAUGGAAUAAAAGGACGAUGGGAUGAACCCUACCAUUAGGAAAAUCCCAAAGAAAUGAAUAGAUCAACCUUGCAACCGGGAAGCCUCGAGGUUUCAACCCUUGUAGUCAGAAACACCGAGUUUUUUCAAACCCUAUGAUCGGGAAUUAUCAGGAAGCACCAAGUUUUCUAGCCCUUCUUAUGUCAUCCCUUCAGAACUUCGCCAGGUAAGUCCUAUUUUUCACAUUUGUCAUCAUAUUUUUUCCAUCUAGGUAGGUCACCCAUUACAAUGAGACCACACUUCAUAUUUUUUCCAUUUUUUGAUAGGUCACCCAUUACAAUGAGACCGCAGUUCAUAUUCUUUCUAUUUGGGUAGGUCGCCCAUCACAACGAGACCACUUCAUCAUAAUUUUUCCAUCUGGGUAGGUCACCCAUUACAAUGAGACCACACUUCAUAUUUUUUUCCAUUUUGGGUAGGUCGCCCAUCACAACGAGACCACUUUUUCACAUUUUUUCUAUUUGGGUAGGUCACCCAUCACAACGAGGCCGCUUUUUCAUAUUCUUUCCACUUGGGUAGGUCACCCAUCACAAUGAGACCACCAUUUUUUCUGGGUAGGUCACCCAUAAGAAUGAGACCAUUCUCCAUCUUUUUUUUUUACCUGGGUAGGUCACCCAUAAUAAUGAGGCCAUUCUUCCCCCUGGGUAGGUCACCCAAAGAAUGAGACCACUCUUCCUUUUUCCAUUUGGGUAGGUCACCCAUAAGAAUGAGACCAUUCUCCAUCUUUUUUUUACCUGGGUAGGUCACCCAUAAUAAUGAGGCCAUUCUUUCCCCUGGGUAGGUCACCCAAAGAAUGAGACCACUCUUCCUUUUUCCAUUUGGGUAGGUCACCCAUAAGAAUGAGACCAUUCUCCAUCUUUUUUUUUUUACCUGGGUAGGUCACCCAUAAUAAUGAGGCCAUUCUUUCCCCUGGGUAGGUCACCCAAAGAAUGAGACCACUCUUCCUUUUUCCACUUGGGUAGGUCACCCAUCACAAUGAGACCAUUAUUUUUUCUGGGUAGGUCAUCCAUAAGAAUGAGACCAUUCUCCAUCUUUUUUUUUUUACCUAGGUAGGUCACCCAUAAUAAUGAGGCCAUUCUUCCCCUUGGGUAGGUCACCCAAAGAAUGAGACCACUCUUCCUUUUUCCAUUUGGGUAGAUCACCCAUAAGAAUGAGACCAUUCUCCAUCUUUUUUUUUACCUAGGUAGGUCACCCAUAAGAAUGAGGCUAUUCUUCCCCCUAGGUAGGUCACCCAUAAGAAUGAGACCACUCUUCCUCCUUUCCACUUGGGUAGGUCACCCAUUAUAAUGAGACCACUUUUUACACAUUCUUUUGUUCCAGUUGAAUGAGGUCGCCAGAUGGGAUCUCAUGUAGCUUUGGUUAAAGGGAAUCUCCAUAUGGGAUUUCAAGUUGACCGAGUUACACAUAUUCUUUGGUUUUGGUUAAAGGAGGUCGCCAGAUGGGAUCUUAGGAUAAUAAAAAAAAAAAAAAAGAGAAAAAAAAAAAGAACAAAGGUUUUUAGAUGAAGUGGAUAUUGAGCAAAUAGAAAAACAAGUUUUUCUUUACAAAGCUUACUAUGCAAAACAUUGAAGAGUUUCGCUUCGUAAACAUUGUAAAGAGAGGGCAUAUGUUGCUACCCAAUUUUUGACCAAUGUUUUUGAUAUAUUUUCAAAAAAAUCCAAAAAUAGAGAAAAACAAUGAAAAUCCAAAAAAAUAUGUUUUUAAAUAUUUUCUCGUCAUUUUAGCAUUUUUAGCGUCGUCUAAAAAAGAAUUUAAAUUUUAUAAAGACUUUCAAACGCGUUCGACUUUUCACGCGUCAUUUUUAAAAUCAUUGAUUUUCCUCAUUGAGUCGACAUUGAUAUUGCUCGUUUUCAAAAAAAUACAAAAAAAAAUAAGAAAAUAUCAAAUUUACAAAAAGAAAGAAAUUGAGGGACCAAUUUGAAAACCUAGCAAUAUUCCCCCCUAUAAAUACUGGUUUCCUCAACACAUUCAAGGGGGGGCAAUUUUGAGAAUUGAGGAGGGAGACAACACAAAAAACACAAAACCCUAAAUCUAUAUCUUCUCCAAGCCGCCGCUGGCCAGCCCCCAAGCUCCCUUUGGAUUUUUAUUUUUUUUCUUCUCCUCCAACCGGCCAAACACAGCAGCCCCCUAAUCUCUCAGCCCCUCCCCUUUUGAUAUUUUUUUCCCUCAACCGGCUGCGACCCGCUCCUCCUCAUCUCAACAAGCAGCACCAUUGAACCAGCCGCCCCCUCUCCGGUUUCAAUUUUUUAUCUCAAGCCGCUGCUCACCAUUUUCUUCUUCUCCAAACAGCCGCCGGUCAUCUCCUUCUCCCUUUGAAACCAAAAGCCAGCAGCCUCUCCUCUCUCCACCCUCACCCCUCUCUCGGCCACGCCUCUAUUUUCGGUUGAAAAUCAGAGGGACCUUCCCGAUUCCCACAAAUCUUCCCCUCUCAGCCGUUUCUCCUUCAACCGGUUAGCAGCAGCCCUUCUUCGGCCGACUAGCACCAGACCCUCCCCCCUCUCAGCAGCGUCUCCUCCUCCUCCGGACUAUCAACGUCGUCCUCCAACAGAAGCAGCUCCUCCACAGCAACACCCGAUCUCCUCAUCACCGCCACCGAUCUCUCCACAACUGAAGAACCCAGCGACGACCACAGCAGCGGCCGAACAGCCCCAGCGACGACGCCCCCUGCUCAGUCGUUCCUCUUCACUGCUAGCCACCUGAAAAGGAGGAGAGGAAGAAGAUGAUCGAUCUGUAGCGAGGCAGAUCCAAAAGACCCGCACGGGACAGAUCUGAAGAGAACUUGAACAAAUAUAAAAAACUAAAACCGACUGCUCUGUGUGUUUUUUUUGUUGUUGCAGGUGGCGGUGACCUUCACCGCCGGCGAGGAAAGGAAGAGGAGAAGAAGUCGCUCCAGACGCCUCUGUUUUUCCAGGUUUCCAGCGGCGGCGCGUGAACCCAUUCGCCGCUAGUGACGGUGGCGCGUGGGAAGACGCGUCGUUACUGUUCUUGUGGGUGCAGAAGUCCUUCCCUGCAAUUUCUAGAAUUUUAGGGACUGUUUUGUAAAUUUUAAAUUAUGUAAUGUAAUUUUUAUGUAGUUUUGAAUUUUUGUACUUUGUAAAUAUGGAUGUAAAAGAAAAGAAAAGAAAAGAAAGAGAAAGUGAUAAAUGAAAAAAAAAAAAAAGAAAAAAAAAAUGUUUGUGUGUGUUUGUUUUUUUUAUUUAUGUUAUUGAAUUAUAAAAAAAAAAGGACAAAAAGAAUUAAUUGUUAAUUUAAAUAUGGUUAAAUAUCUCAAGGACAAAUAAAAUCAAGUUGUAUUUCCUACGAAAAUGUAAGAAUAAGUUUCUAUAUAUAUUCAAGGAUUUAAUAACUGAUUUAUUCAAGCCUUAGAAUUUAAUUAAUAUUUUAAAUUUUCAAAUCACAUCAGAACACAAAGCAGCUUACCUCAGGUAGGGUGCGUUAGGGGUGCUAAUACCUUCCCUAACCACAACCAAUCCCUUACCCGUGAUCUCUGACAAGACCAGUACAUCAGGUUUCCUAGUAGCCCUCAAUGAAUUACUAGGUGGCGACUCCAACGAAUGAAUUCAAAGCAAACGCAACAAACGAUGAAAAAUCGCCAGCCGAUGCUGCGCGCUUGGAUUUUUUGACGUGCGACACCUUACAUCCUUAAGAUGCUUUCAGACUCAGUGAGAACCUUUUCCAGAUUCAUCAACCAACAUUUGAUCCCCACAUUGGUUUUAAGUCAACCAAGGUUUUAUAGGCUUAAGAAAAUUAAUGUUCAUGAGUUUCCAUUUUCACAACCCCGUGAUAUCGAAUAGGGUACAUUUUUCAAAGUCGAUAAGGUUCCUUGUUGUUUUUUUCUUAUGUUACAUCAACCACUUGUAUAUAUGCAACAGGUAAGCAAAAUUUGUAUUGUAUUUUUAAUUUAUUUAAAUUAUAUAAAAAAUGUUAUUUAAACUAUAUAUUUUAAAAUAUUUAAGUUUCUAUUAUUUAUUUCACUUUUAUUUUAAUUAUGAUAUAUUAUUAUUUACUUCUUGAUUAAAAUUAUCAAUAUAUAAUUAAUUAAAAUAUUUUACUUAUAAUUUUAUGAUUUUAUAAUUUAAAUUUAUGAUAUGAGUUUAUAUUAUAUAUCUUAUAAAAAAAAGUGUAUUUCACAUCCUUGUCCUGGAAUAUUAUCCUUUUAAUGUAUCAAAUUUCCAACACUUAAGUUACAUCAACCACUUGCAUAUAUGCAUGCAAUAUUCAAAGUUGUCUGCGCCGAUGAAUAUUUAGUCUCGUUCGAAGAAUGACAAUGGAGGGGACUAAUUGUACUGGUUCAUGAGCAAACAUUUAGUGGAAAAGUAAGUUCGACCCCGCAAUUUAUAAGAUUAAAUAUAAAUAUCUAGGAUAUUAAUUGAAAUAUGUAGGGAGAUAUAUAUAUAUAUAUAGUUUUAUAUAUAUAUAUAUAUAUAUAGUUUUUUCAUGUAUCAUCAGACUUGGUUUGAUUUUAUUUACUUUUCUUAUUAACUAGUAUUAGCUAGGUUUUUAAUUUUAAUUUUAUAUUUAUGUAAUCUUUUUAAUCUUAAUUAUAGUUGGAGGAUUUUUUUUAUUAUUAUUUUGUAAAUGUUAAGGGCUUUUGAUAAGAGAAUUAUAUUUUUAGCUAAAGAGAUGUUCGAAUCUAAAACUUCUUGAAAAGAAGGAAGAUAUUGAUGUUAUUUGAACUACUUGAUUUGAGAUGAGAGGUUGUCAUAGAAAACUUAGGCUAUAUUAGAUGAGGCUAUUUGAAUGAUUUUAUAUAAAUUCUAAAACUUCUGCUUUGAAAAGGCAACUUGUACAGACUCUGUGAACUAUAGGGAAUUUCGACUGGUGAUGUACUGAAAUUUGUUUAUAGGAGGCUAAGCAUACUAACACAAUAUUUAACGUGGUUCGGUAAAUCGUCUACAUCCACGGGAAAAGCUAUUUGAUUAUAUAGGGAGAGAACAAGAUUUACAACAAUAAAGGAGGAUGAAUUAUUCCCUCUUUAGCAACUCUCAACCUCACUCUAUUUUUCUUUUCUUAGUGCUGCAAUGGCAACCCACUCUCUCCUAUAUUUCUCAUAUCUUUGGCUCUAAUAUCUCUUACUCAACUCUCUCAUUUUGCUCUCUCAUUGUCAAAUUUUAACAUUAGUCAAUGGUUGAUAGCUGCCACCAAUAAACCACCAUUGUAACCUCCAUCUUUGACAAUGGCAGCCAUCUUCUUUGACAGUGACAACCACAUAAUUGACAAAAUUCCAACAUGAACUCAUAUUCAAUCGGUGAUUAAGAUUUUCAUAUGUACAUAUCCAAAGUCCCCAACAUGAGCAGUCAUAUCUCCAUCGAGGAGAACAUUACUUGGUUUAAGAUCACAAUGAACAAUAGGCAUUUUGCAUUGGUUGUGCAAAUAGUCGAGCGCAUUAGCCACAUCAAUUGCAAUGUUUAACCUCUGAAUGAGAUUAAGAUUUCUUGGCCCAUCCACUUCCUGAACCAAUGUUUGGUUUGGAUGCAACCAUUCUUCUAGACUUCCAUUGAUCAUGAACUCAUAAACAAGAGCUUUAAAAUCAUCACCUUGAAUAUCAACGCCAGCAUAAGCAUAUAAUACUUUGACAAGAUUCCGGUGCCUGAGGUUUAGCAAGGCUGCACAUUCUCUCAUGAAGCUUUUGGAAGCUCCUUCGCGUAGCAAGUUGAAUACUUUCACAGCAACAAUCACUCCAUCAAAUGCAAGUACUCCUUUAUACACAGACCCAAAACUACCAGCACCAGCUAAAUUGCCAGAAGAGAAUCCAUUAGUUGCUUGAAGGAGGUCUUUGUAAGCUACUGUUCGGAAUGGCAUUUCACAUGACAACUCGUUUUUUGUUUUUCUCAACGAUUUUUUCAAGCAGUACAAAAAUAAAA